rnacentral:rRNA from 13 species
AAAGACGGUCUUGCUGUCACUUAUAGAUGGAUCCGCGCUGCAUUAGCUAGUUGGUAAGGUAACGGCUUACCAAGGCAACGAUGCAUAGCCGACCUGAGAGGGUGAUCGGCCACACUGGAACUGAGACACGGUCCAGACUCCUACGGGAGGCAGCAGUAGGGAAUCUUCCGCAAUGGGCGAAAGCCUGACGGAGCAACGCCGCGUGAGUGAUGAAGGUCUUCGGAUCGUAAAACUCUGUUAUUAGGGAAGAACAUAUGUGUAAGUAACUGUGCACAUCUUGACGGUACCUAAUCAGAAAGCCACGGCUAACUACGUGCCAGCAGCCGCGGUAAUACGUAGGUGGCAAGCGUUAUCCGGAAUUAUUGGGCGUAAAGCGCGCGUAGGCGGUUUUUUAAGUCUGAUGUGAAAGCCCACGGCUCAACCGUGGAGGGUCAUUGGAAACUGGAAAACUUGAGUGCAGAAGAGGAAAGUGGAAUUCCAUGUGUAGCGGUGAAAUGCGCAGAGAUAUGGAGGAACACCAGUGGCGAAGGCGACUUUCUGGUCUGUAACUGACGCUGAUGUGCGAAAGCGUGGGGAUCAAACAGGAUUAGAUACCCUGGUAGUCCACGCCGUAAACGAUGAGUGCUAAGUGUUAGGGGGUUUCCGCCCCUUAGUGCUGCAGCUAACGCAUUAAGCACUCCGCCUGGGGAGUACGACCGCAAGGUUGAAACUCAAAGGAAUUGACGGGGACCCGCACAAGCGGUGGAGCAUGUGGUUUAAUUCGAAGCAACGCGAAGAACCUUACCAAAUCUUGACAUCCUUUGACAACUCUAGAGAUAGAGCCUUCCCCUUCGGGGGACAAAGUGACAGGUGGUGCAUGGUUGUCGUCAGCUCGUGUCGUGAGAUGUUGGGUUAAGUCCCGCAACGAGCGCAACCCUUAAGCUUAGUUGCCAUCAUUAAGUUGGGCACUCUAAGUUGACUGCCGGUGACAAACCGGAGGAAGGUGGGGAUGACGUCAAAUCAUCAUGCCCCUUAUGAUUUGGGCUACACACGUGCUACAAUGGACAAUACAAAGGGCAGCGAAACCGCGAGGUCAAGCAAAUCCCAUAAAGUUGUUCUCAGUUCGGAUUGUAGUCUGCAACUCGACUACAUGAAGCUGGAAUCGCUAGUAAUCGUAGAUCAGCAUGCUACGGUGAAUACGUUCCCGGGUCUUGUACACACCGCCCGUCACACCACGAGAGUUUGUAACACCCGAAGCCGGUGGAGUAACCUUUUAGGAGCUAGCCGUCGAAGGUGGGACAAAUGAUUGGGGUGAAGUCGUAACAAGGUAGCCGUAUCGGAAGGUGCGGCUGGAUCACCU